rnacentral:piRNA from 1 species
UAUAAUUGCAGAGAAAAGCUUGUCGGUC